AACGAACGCUGGCGGCAUGCCUAACACAUGCAAGUCGAACGAGACCUUCGGGUCUAGUGGCGCACGGGUGCGUAACGCGUGGGAACCUGCCCUUAGGUUCGGAAUAACUCCCCGAAAGGGGUGCUAAUACCGGAUAAUGUCUUCGGACCAAAGAUUUAUCGCCUUUGGAUGGGCCCGCGUUGGAUUAGCUAGUUGGUAGGGUAAAAGCCUACCAAGGCGACGAUCCAUAGCUGGUUUGAGAGGAUGAUCAGCCACACUGGGACUGAGACACGGCCCAGACUCCUACGGGAGGCAGCAGUGGGGAAUAUUGGACAAUGGGCGAAAGCCUGAUCCAGCAAUGCCGCGUGAGUGAUGAAGGCCUUAGGGUUGUAAAGCUCUUUUACCCGGGAUGAUAAUGACAGUACCGGGAGAAUAAGCGCCGGCUAACUCCGUG
rnacentral:rRNA from 1 species